rnacentral:misc_RNA from 1 species
CGUCGAAGGUGGGGCUGAUGACUGGGGUGAAGUCGUAACAAGGUAUCCGUACCGGAAGGUGCGGAUGGAUCACCUCCUAACAGGGAGACAAACAACGAUUUUGAUGCCUGAGUACUUUUAUUCUUAGGUCGAAAUCCUGUCACCUUAGGUCGAUCGGUACCUCAGCGUUGAAGCAACAGGGUUAACAGAGAUGUUGAUGCUUGUUGUAGAGAUGAUCAGUUCCUAAACUUUGUCUAGGUCAUACCCCACAAGGGUUGAGUUUUCCUGGGCCAUUAGCUCAGGUGGUUAGAGCGCACCCCUGAUAAGGGUGAGGUCCCUGGUUCAAGUCCAGGAUGGCCCAUUCGGUGUUGGGGGUUUAGCUCAGUUGGUAGAGCGCCUGCUUUGCAAGCAGGAUGUCAGGAGUUCGAGUCUCCUAACCUCCACUGACCGAACUCAAUCUCCGGUUUUGCAUUGAAAGAUGGAGAGCCACUCGAUUGUGAAGUGUGACUUAGAUAUGUCCGCUGGAUGACCCCAGCUUCCUGUCAUUCCAAAUUAACAAAAUAAUGUCAAUUAUUUUGUGAGAUGGUUGAUAAGAUGCUGGGCUCGAAUCAGGUGAUCAAGCAAUUGAUGAUUUGAUUUGAAGUCUGGCAGAACCUUGACAACUGCAUAGGUGAGUCUGGAUAAAACAAAGCAUCUUACAGAUGCAUUGUUUUGAAUUCUAUUUUCUGAAAGGGAGUAGAAUCCAGGACAAUGAAAAUUCUUUUGAGCAAGAGCCGAGACUCUUGAGCGUUCUUUGAUUCGUGUCGAGCGAAUCAGAGUUUGAUCUUGUUUUAGGAAUUGGCGUUAGCUGAUAAUUAAAAUUUGAGAAUCUGCUUUCAACGGCGGUAAGCGUUCAAGAGGUUAAUUGGUCAAGCUACAAAGGGCUC